CGGGAAGUAGCUCAGCUUGGUAGAGCACUUGUUUUGGGACCAAGGGGUCGCAGGUUCGAAUCCUGUCUUCUCGC
rnacentral:tRNA from 1 species